UACGUAGGGGGCAAGCGUUGUCCGGAUUUAUUGGGCGUAAAGAGCUCGUAGGCGGUUUGGUAAGUCAGGUGUGAAAUCUCCACGCUCAACGUGGAGGGGCCACCUGAUACUGCCAUGACUGGAGUCCGGUAGAGGAGUGUGGAAUUCCCGGUGUAGCGGUGAAAUGCGCAGAUAUCAGGAGGAACACCAAUGGCGAAGGCAGCACUCUGGGACGUGACUGACGCUGAGACGCGAAAGCGUGGGGAGCAAACAGG
rnacentral:rRNA from 1 species